UACAGAGGGGGCAAGCGUUAUUCGGAAUUAUUGGGCGUAAAGCGUGCGUAGGCGGCUACUUAAGUCGGAUGUGAAAGCCCUUGGCUCAACUGAGGAAGUGCACCCGAAACUGAGUAGCUGGAGUACGAAAGAGGGUCGCGGAAUUCCCGGUGUAGAGGUGAAAUUCGUAGAUAUCGGGAGGAACACCGGUGGCGAAGGCGGCGACCUGGGUCGAUACUGACGCUGAGGCGCGAAAGCGUGGGGAGCAAACAGG
rnacentral:rRNA from 1 species